rnacentral:miRNA from 1 species
UGCCAACCGUCAGAGCCCAGA